GCCGGAGUGGCGGAAUGGCAGACGCACCGGAUUCAAAAUCCGGCGACCCUGACAGGUCAUGUGGGUUCGACUCCCACCUCCGGCA
rnacentral:tRNA from 2 species